GCGUCUAUAGUAUAAUGGAAUUAUGCCUGGCUUCCACCCAGGAUAUGGUGAGUUCAAUUCUCCCUAGACGCU
rnacentral:tRNA from 1 species